rnacentral:rRNA from 1 species
UGGGGAAUAUUGGACAAUGGGCGCAAGCCUGAUCCAGCAAUGCCGCGUGGAUGAAGAAGGUCUUCGGAUUGUAAAGUCCUUUCGACGGGGACGAUGAUGACGGUACCCGUAGAAGAAGCCCCGGCUAACUUCGUGCCAGCAGCCGCGGUAAUACGAAGGGGGCUAGCGUUGCUCGGAAUUACUGGGCGUAAAGGGCGCGUAGGCGGCCCGACAAGUCAGGCGUGAAAUUCCCGGGCUCAACCUGGGGGCUGCGCUUGAGACUGUUGGGCUAGAGGCCGAGAGAGGGUGGUGGAAUUCCCAGUGUAGAGGUGAAAUUCGUAGAUAUUGGGAAGAACACCGGUGGCGAAGGCGGCCACCUGGCUCGGUACUGACGCUGAGGCGCGACAGCGUGGGGAGCAAACA